UUUCCCAACAUUUGAAUGAAUUGCCAACACUUAACAAUUAGAAGAUUUCGUGGGAUAAAAUAAGACUAGGCCAUUGUAAAUUGAGAUGAAGUAACCAUUUUCAUCUCUUCUGCAUGGACUAGACAUUG
rnacentral:snoRNA from 1 species